rnacentral:rRNA from 1 species
AUUGAACGCUGGCGGCAGGCUUAACACAUGCAAGUCGAGCGGGGUGAUGGUGCUUGCACUAUCACUUAGCGGCGGACGGGUGAGUAAUGCUUAGGAAUCUGCCUAUUAGUGGGGGACAACAUCUCGAAAGGGAUGCUAAUACCGCAUACGUCCUACGGGAGAAAGCAGGGGAUCACUUGUGACCUUGCGCUAAUAGAUGAGCCUAAGUCGGAUUAGGUAGUUGGUGGGGUAAAGGCCUACCAAGGCGACGAUCUGUAGCGGGUCUGAGAGGAUGAUCCGCCACACUGGGACUGAGACACGGCCCAGACUCCUACGGGAGGCAGCAGUGGGGAAUAUUGGACAAUGGGGGGAACCCUGAUCCAGCCAUGCCGCGUGUGUGAAGAAGGCCUUAUGGUUGUAAAGCACUUUAAGCGAGGAGGAGGCUCUUUUGGUUAAUACCCAAGACGAGUGGACGUUACUCGCAGAAUAAGCACCGGCUAACUCUGUGCCAGCAGCCGCAGUAA